AGAAUCAACGCUGGCGGCGUGCCUAACACAUGCAAGUCGCACGAGAAAGGGGACUUCGGUCCUUGAGUACAGUGGCGCACGGGUGAGUAACACGUGAAUUAUCUACCUUCGAGUGGGGAAUAACUGAGAGAAAUCUUAGCUAAUACCGCAUAAUACCUACGGGUCAAAGCAGCAAUGCGCUUGAAGAGGAGUUCGCGGCAGAUUAGUUAGUUGGCGGGGUAAUGGCCCACCAAGACGAUGAUCUGUA
rnacentral:rRNA from 1 species